GCUCACCUGGCCAGAGCGAAACUACUGAUGCGAGAUGAUGAGAGAUCUGGCGCUGCCCCGUCAGGACGCCGCCCUUCCUCACCCCUCUCUAAAUGAGGAAAUAUAGAAAAUACGGACUAGAAAGGCCCCCACAUUAGAAUUGCCUAGGCAGAAACAAAUCAUUCCAACCUCAAAAAAAGGGGGGGGGGGUUAAACAAUAUGCAGCUGAUUUAGCAAAAAUCUGUACAAGAAUGCGAGCAGUCUCUGUAAAGCCUAUGAGAAGCAAUUGGGAAAACACCCCCCCCCCCCCAAUCAGAAUAAGGAUUAGAAUAAAAAUAGUGAAAUGGAGUCCUUCAAAAAGUGAGCCGGCCUUGGCUAACGUCUAUGAUUUGACCAAUGUCGCAGGGAAGAAUUCGUGAUGGAGACCCACUGGUUUACAGGGCUGACCUGGAGAACUGAGCAGACAGCCUGGCCACUUACAUAUGUUCAUUUGAUCUCCCAAGAAGCUAAGUUUGAGAGCAGCUCUGGUCCUCAAUCCCCAUCCCUCUGACCCAAGCCAAUGGGAGCUCAACUUCCCGUAAGGCCUAUGGCAAAGCACUUCGCAGUAGCGGAGACCAGGGGAGCAGAGCAGAACUGUCUGACAGCACAAGAGGGAAGGAUGUGAGAGAGUCAGGUGUGCUGAAGGAAAUAGUAACAGUACCUGUGGCCAGAAUUUGGGGGUUGAAGCUGAGCAAUAACCAACUUUUGUGGGUCUCUCCAACUCAACUGGUCCUCUCAACAGCCCUUUGACAGAUUUCUACCAACUGGAAGCCAGCUGAACUGUUAAGCAAAAGGGAGGCAGGUGCCACUGAAGUGAACAAACUGUGAAAAGGCUGGGGAUCUGCUUGGCCUCGAGGAUUACUAAAACCAGAGUUGUUCCCUGGUGGCCCUUCCUCUUCCCUCAGCCUAGCUUCUCUCCACAUUGAUGUCAUGCCUUAGACCACCUCUCUGCAUGUGGCUGGAAAUGAGUUUUCCACAUCUUCAGCAUCAUCAUCAGACAGGCAGAAGGGGAUGAUCCUGGCCGCAGCUUAAGCAUUCCCUGGGAAGGACAUGUUAUUAAAUUGGUCCAGCCACUUGCCCACCCCUGAACGAAAUGAUUGUGCUCGUAAGUGGGAUCUGUGAGAACGUGGACACUGCCAGGCUGGAACGGUGACACUGCAUUGUUGAAGUGGAGAGAGAACGUUUCCCACAAGAUGGGGGAAGACAAAAACGUAGAUGCCCAUUCGAAUUAGAAUUAGAACUAGAACUAGAAUUCUCAUUAUUAAACAUGAGAACACUAAGGUGGUAAAGUA